GGAAGCAGGUUAAUAUUCCUGCACCAGGAAGUGGGUACUGAGCGGUAACGCAAGCGAAAUCGGGGACGCCGGCGAGAGCCCCCGGAAGAGUUCUCUUUUCUUCUUAACAAUGUGAUACUCCCUGGAAUCGGAUUGCCCGGAGAUAGGGAAUAUUGCUUGGGAAAGGCGUUCGAUUUCUGAACGUUCGUGGUGCGCUCUCGACGGCCCGUGAAAACCCGGUGGCGUGACUUACCUGCACCCCUGGUCGUACUCAUAACCGCCUCAGGUCUCCAAGGCGUGCAGCCUCUAGUUGAUAGAA
rnacentral:rRNA from 1 species